GAGCGGCAUCAAGAAGGGUAUUCACCCGCCAACCGCCCGCUCCGGGAACGGUGGACCAAAGAUGCGCCAGACCACUGGAACACAUAGGAGCCCCC
rfam:Haliea rubra DSM 19751 genomic scaffold scaffold9, whole genome shotgun sequence.